rnacentral:rRNA from 1 species
GGGCCCGCACAAGCGGUGGAGCAUGUGGUUUAAUUCGAUGCAACGCGAAGAACCUUACCAAGCCUUGACAUCCUCGGAACUUUCCAGAAAUGGAUUGGUGCCUUCGGGAACCGAGUGACAGGUGCUGCAUGGCUGUCGUCAGCUCGUGUCGUGAGGUGUCAGGUUAAGUCCUAUAACGAGCGCAACCCCUACCGUUAGUUGCCAGCAUUAAGUUGGGCACUCUAGCGAGACUGCCGGUGAUAAGCCGGAGGAAGGCGGGGAUGACGUCAAGUCCUCAUGGCCCUUAUGGGCUGGGCUACACACGUGCUACAAUGGCAGUGACAGAGGGACGCUACCAGGUGACUGGAUGCAAA